CGCCUGGGGAGUACGGCCGCAAGGUUAAAACUCAAAUGAAUUGACGGGGGCCCGCACAAGCGGUGGAGCAUGUGGUUUAAUUCGACGCAACGCGAAGAACCUUACCUGGCCUUGACAUGCAGAGAACUUUCCAGAGAUGGAUUGGUGCCUUCGGGAACUCUGACACAGGUGCUGCAUGGCCGUCGUCAGCUCGUGUCGUGAGAUGUUGGGUUAAGUCCCGUAACGAGCGCAACCCCUAUCCCUAGUUGCUAGCAGUUCGGCUGAGAACUCUAGGGAGACUGCCGGUGACAAACCGGAAGAAGGUGGGGAUGACGUCAGGUCAUCAUGGCCCUUACGGCCAGGGCUACACACGUGCUACAAUGGUGCGCACAGAGGGCUGCAAACCCGCGAGGGGGAGCCAAUCUCACAAAACGCAUCGUAGUCCGGAUCGCAGUCUGCAACUCGACUGCGUGAAGUCGGAAUCGCUAGUAAUCGUGAAUCAGAAUGUCACGGUGAAUACGUUCCCGGGCCUUGUACACACCGCCCGUCACACCAUGGGAGUGGAUUGCACCAGAAGUGGUUAGUCUAACCUUCGGGAGGACGAUCACCACGGUGUGGUUCAUGACUGGGGUGAAGUCGUAACAAGGUAACCGUA
rnacentral:rRNA from 1 species